rnacentral:rRNA from 1 species
UACAGGGGGUGCAAACGUUGCUCGGAAUUAUUGGGCGUAAAGCGCGCGUAGGCGGCUACUUAAGUCGGAUGUGAAAGCCCCUGGCUCAACUGGGGAAGUGCACCCGAAACUGAGUAGCUUGAGUGCAAAGGAGGGCCGCGGAAUUCCCGGUGUAGAGGUGAAAUUCGUAGAUAUCGGGAGGAACACCGGUGGCGAAGGCGGCGGCCUGGGUUGACACUGACGCUGAGGCGCGAAAGCGUGGGGAGCAAACAGG